rnacentral:rRNA from 1 species
UACGGAGGGUGCAAGCGUUAAUCGGAAUCACUGGGCGUAAAGCGCGCGUAGGUGGCUAUUUAAGUCAGAUGUGAAAGCCCUGGGCUCAACCUGGGAAUGGCAUUUGAUACUGGAUAGCUAGAGUAUGGUAGAGGUGAGUGGAAUUUCAGGUGUAGCGGUGAAAUUCGUAGAUAUUUGGAAGAACACCGGUGGCGAAGGCGGCUACCUGGUCCGAUACUGACGCUGAGGUGCGAAAGCGUGGGGAGCGAACAGG